UGCCUGGACGUAACACGGCACCACCCCGCCCGCCAAAUAACUACGAGUGAAAACUUAAAACUUAAAGGACUUGACGGUACUUCACACCCAACCUAGAGGAGCCUGUCUACUAACCGAUAAUCCACGAUUAACCCAACCACUUCUAGCCACCCAGCCUAUAUACCACCGUCGCCAGCCUACCUUGUAAAAGAAACAAAGUAAGCCAAACAGCACUACACUAGCACGACAGGUCAAGGUGUAACUAAUGAAGCGGACUAAGAUGGGCUACAUUCUCUACCUCAGAUUAUACGAACAAGGCUAUGAAACUAACCUUUAAAGGCGGAUUUAGCAGUAAGCUGAGAACAAAAUACUCAACUGAAACCAAUGCAAUGAAGUGCGUACACACCGCCCGUCACCCUCUGCAGUCACUUUA
rnacentral:rRNA from 1 species